rnacentral:rRNA from 1 species
UACAGAGGGUGCAAGCGUUAAUCGGAAUUACUGGGCGUAAAGCGUGCGUAGACGGUUAUGUAAGUCUGAUGUGAAAUCCCCGGGCUCAACCUGGGAAUUGCAUUGGAGACUGCAAGGCUAGAAUCUGGCAGAGGGGGGUAGAAUUCCACGUGUAGCAGUGAAAUGCGUAGAGAUGUGGAGGAACACCGAUGGCGAAGGCAGCCCCCUGGGUCAAGAUUGACGCUCAUGCACGAAAGCGUGGGGAGCAACAGG